rnacentral:rRNA from 1 species
GACGAACGCUGGCGGCGCGCCUAACACAUGCAAGUCGAACGAGCGAGAGAGAGCUUGCUUUCUUGAGCGAGUGGCGAACGGGUGAGUAACGCGUGAGGAACCUGCCUCAAAGAGGGGGACAACAGUUGGAAACGACUGCUAAUACCGCAUAAGCCCACGACCCGGCAUCGGGUUGAGGGAAAAGGAGCAAUCCGCUUUGAGAUGGCCUCGCGUCCGAUUAGCUAGUUGGUGAGGUAACGGCCCACCAAGGCGACGAUCGGUAGCCGGACUGAGAGGUUGAACGGCCACAGUGGGACUGAGACACGGCCCAGACUCCUACGGGAGGCAGCAGUGGGGAAUAUUGCACAAUGGGGGAAACCCUGAUGCAGCGACGCCGCGUGGAGGAAGAAGGUCUUCGGAUUGUAAACUCCUGUUGUUGAGGAAGAUAAUGACGGUACUCAACAAGGAAGUGACGGCUAACUACGUG